rnacentral:ncRNA from 1 species
AGAAUAGAGGCGCAAAAACCAUUAGUACCUAGUUAGAGGACGAUGCUCCAGUGACGACUAGCGGAAAGGGGAAUUUGCCGAAGUAAUAUAGACAGACAUCUGAUUAUAUUGCUGGUCUUGCAUUGAAUAAAUGCCGGGCUGUCAUAUAGUUUCUUAACUAUAUGGAGGGCUAUCU